GGCUGGGCACGAGCAGGAAACGCACCUACAUGCUCAUUUGCAUACGGCGCGCGUUGAUUUACCCUCAUUCGCAAGUAGCUUCCGGCCUAGAGUCCGCGCGGAACGUGGCAGCCGUGACCCCGCCCCCUGCGUUGGGCGCGGCCCCCUGCAGCGGCUCUGUUGGGCUGGCACUGGCCGCACGCACCAUGUGCGAGGUAAACGCGGGGGGGGAAGGCCCGCACAUAGGCUGUCCCAUUGGGAGAUACCCCGCUGCUCUGAACUCAGGCCCGUCCCACCUAGAUCUCCCGGAUGUAGCCCCUAUUCCCUUCCGGUCGGGGUCAGCCUUGUGCUUCCGGGUAACGGGGACGCUGGACGCUAAGGUGGGGAGUCCGAGGUGGGACCUGGGCCCUGAUAUGGAUAACAGACGUGAUGAGAAAUGUGGAACACCAUGCGCUACAUCACAAGAAGAGAUGAAAGUCAGAGGGAAAGACAAGAGAAAGCGAAAACGCAGCAGAAGCAGAUCAUCAUCCAUUUCAUCAACAUCAUCUGCUAGUACUACUACUACAUCCUCCUCAUGCUCUUCAUCAAGAUCUUCCUCCUCUUCAAGCAGCAGAAGCAGUUCAAGUGGCAGAGAUUCUCCCAAGUCUAAAUCAAAGAAAAGGAAAAAAGAAAAACGCAACAAAAAGGUAAAUAUUUGCUGACAGAAAUAAAUAGCAAUCCAGGCAAAAAAAACUUAGCUGCUACUGUAUUCUGGUGUGAUUAAAACUCACCUGGGAAUCAAAAUAAGGAACAUAAUUGUUCAUUUAAAAGGAGACAUUUCUGUGGUGAUAUUAAAUGAAUUGAAAUUAAAAUGUACAAAUUGUUUCAGAGGAGAAAUUAAAUGGAGCUUCUUCUAGUAGUGUCUGGAAUGGGUGCAGGUAGAAUUUAAGGCACUCUGUGAGAGGAAUUGGGGACCCUGGUAUGAAUUAUAUUACUGACCUGCUGCCUCUGUCUAUGCAAUCACUGCACUACCGGUAUGAAACUUCUUGUUAAACACCUUGGGGACCUUGUGUGACUGGUGCUGUAUAAAACAGCAUCCAAUUCUACUGUGGUAGCUUUGCUGCAAUAAAAAUGCCAUAAUGGGAUUAUGAGUGAAGACCGUUGCAUCUAGUCUGCAUUUCUGCAACCAACUCCAUCAUUUGGCAGCACAAAAAGGAAUGAAUUCACCAUUAUGUUUAGAAAUGUAUUAGCUUCAGUUCCACCGAAUGUUUGUGGACAUCCGAAACAAAUGAUAACUUUUUGAAAGUACUGUGGAACAGACUACAGAUUUUCCUACAUUCUGUUUAAGCUUAAUAAGCUUGUCGUAUCCAUCAAGAAAAUAUAAGCAGGUUAGAUAUAAUAAUGUAAUCUGCAUUUUUACACUGUCUUAUACUUUUUAUUUCUAUCACUUUCUGCUCAGGGAUUUCAGAUAUUUAGUGAGGCAGGGAGGACCAGACCCCCCAGAAACGGGGUCAGGGAACCCACCACCACUUCUGUUUCCUGGGAUCAUGGGGGUCACUAGGCCUUAACAAACAUCAACCUCUUUGCUGCCCCCCCAUUAAUACAUCUCCCAGAGUUGGUCCAGGCGUGGGGAGCUAUGGCAAAAGUGACUUCCAGGACAGUAGCAGGAAAUUUGUGAGUUCAUACAUAUUUGGGUUGGGUUUUUUUCUCUUGUGCUUCUGUGAGAAGUAUGAGCUUUGCAUACGUGUCUUGUACUUGUAGAAGAGGAAAAAAGAGAACAAGCUGAAGAAAAAGAAAGAAAAGAAAAAAAAGAGAGAGAAACCAGGACCUGUCCAGCUUUCCAAGUACCUUAAAGACAAAAAGAAGACUGAAAACUACAGUAUGAUAACAGGGAAAAAAAUUAAGAUGAAAAUAAAGAAGACUAAAAAGGAUAAAGAGAGAGACCGAAACCGUGCUGAACUCCUUGAUUUCCUAAACUCCGCCUUGUAAUGGAAAGAGUGCCGAGCAAGGACGUGUACAUCUCCCAAGCCAACCGGUCCUCAUGCCUAGCAAAACACAAAGGAAACUCAGGGAAAAGGGCACCAUUUGUGACAAGACCAGACUCUUGUGCUGUGAAGACAAUCAGUGUCCUUUACAAUUGGCAAAAUGAAGAGUUACUGCUAACUUGUUUAUUAAUAUCCAUGUCGUCCUUUUGAGAUCCUAAAGUAAUAGCCAAGUUGCAAUGUUGUAUGAGUGCUUAAAAUGUGUUGCUGCUGCUGAUCUGAAGUGAAAUGACAUUAUUGUACUUCAGCGUAUCAAAUACAUCCCAGAGCUGCAUGCAGAGCACACUCAUAAUUUCAAAUGUCUUUAACGUUUAUGGUAGCUGAAGCAUAGCAGUGUACUAGCAGGUCAUCUGCUUGAAAAAUUAGGUGUUUCUGUAUAUAUCUUUCUUAGUGGUGAUUUUAUUUGUUCUAAAGACCACGAUGACUCUUUGUGAAUAGUACAUCUACAGAAAUGAAUAUCUUUUUUAACAGUCAUCUUCAAUAUGUUGCUUUCUCAAAAAGUUUGAGACUCAGCCUUCUCACGGGUGUUUAUUACCAUUUGUCAAAGCUUGGUAACAAAUUUAUAAUUAAAAUAUUCUAGAGUAAUAAAAACAUUAGCUGAAUAUUUUUAUUCAGAA